GCCACGGAGCCAGAAUCCGGCGACUGGCAGCAGGUGCGCGUUCCCGCCUGCCGCCUUCAUGGUCGCGCGUCUCCUGCAGCCCUCGCCCUUCCCCCGACCCCAUCCCCGCCACCGUCAGCUCCCCGGCCCGUGGCAGGCCCCUGAGGGUCCCUCUUUCUGGGGCGACAGAGGUGAUUCCGGGGUGGCGGUGUCAGGUUGUGCGAAGGAGCCCUCGGCUGGUCCGCGAUGGAAUUUCUGGCCCGGUUGGGGGAGACCCCGGUGACCUGCCGCAGCGCUCCUUGUCAACCGGGGAGACCACGCCCGCGUCGGUCGUCCGGGCUCCGAUGCAGACGUCGGAGCGGUGCCCCGCAUCCCCGCCGCUCCCCGCAAUCUGAAAGCGUCUCUGGUUCGGGUCAGGCUAGGAGCUCGCCCAACCUUCUUUCCCGCCCUUGUCAAAAACGACAAAGGGCUGGGGUGUGGGUGCUGGCUGGUGCUAGCUGGUCCCGAGCGCCCGGGGCUGAGCGGGCAGCGGACGGCCACUCCCGCACCCCGACGGCUCCGCAGAGGCGCUUAGGGGCCAAGCGGGCCGGGGUCCCUCGCUCGCUGCAGCCGCGCCAGCGCGCCCUCGGCCAGGAGGAGGAUGAGGAAGACCCGGGGAGUAGAUCGCCAGACGGACUUUUGGAUACGAUGGAACCCACCCUCAUUUGACUCAGGACCUUGAAGCCAGAGAACUGUUUCUGUUUCUUCUGAUUGCCCUCAGAGAGAGGAAACCACACAUGCAGAAACACCCAUUGCGACUAUUCCCCGAAGGUAUGAAAGUGGACAUACAACUCGAUGACCUCUGGCAAACUAAGCACACACAAACAACCAGCUCCCCGAUGGAGGAACAGGACCUGUCAACGCCUCCCCUCAACAACCCCAUGCUCUAAGGAUCACCAGCCCCAGGGUGACUGUAUCCUGGCUUCUGACAGCGUGUAUUUGUUUGGCCUGUUUUCAUCUGUCCUUGAAUCUUGAUGGUGAUCAUGUAUUGGAUUAAAAUGAGAUUUAGUGAAUAGGCAUUUGGUGCCACAUCCCCUCUUGAAUGCCUGGGUUUGAGUCUUAGCUCCGAUUCCCAUCCCAGUUUCCUGCUUGUGCACAGCCUGGGAGGUAGCAGGUGUUGGCUUAAGUACUUGUGUCCCUUCACCCACAUGAGAGUUCUGCACUGGGUUCCAGGCUUCUGGCUUCAGCCUUGCCAGCCCCUGCUAUUGCAGAUAUUUUAGGCACGGACCAACAGAUGGGAGCUGUCUGUCUCUCUGCCUUUCAAAUAAUGAAAAAUAAAUAAAAACUUGGGAAAAUGGAAUAAUCAACACGAUGUUACCAAAAUACAUGCAUGUGCAGUGGUCAUCAUUUGGCGUCAAUAUAUAUGGAUCUAGCUCAAAAUUCAGUAACUCAUACAGAUAGCAUCAUAAUUUAUCUGACUGGUCCCUUUUGAUGGACAUUCGUGUUGUUUCCAGUUUUUGGCUAAUAAGCAGCACUACACGGAACAUGUUAAUGCAUAUUUCUUUAUGAAUAUAAUUUUAAGAUGUAUUUAUUCACUUGAAAGGCAUAGUUAUGGACAGAGAGAGGGUGAGACAGAGGGAGAGAGGGGUCUUCCAUCUGCUGAUUCACUCCCCAAAUGGCCACAAUGGCUGGAGCUGAUCUGAUCUGAAGCCAGGAGCCAGGAGCCAGGAGCCAGGAGCCAGGAGCCAGGAGCUUCCUCUGGGUCUCCCAUGUGAAUGCAGGGGCCCAAUCAUUUGGUCCAUCUUCUAUUGCCUUACCAGACCAUAGCAGACAGCUGGAUCGCAAGUGGAGCAGCUGGGACUCCAACUGGCACCAAUAUGGGAUGCUGGGACCGCACACAGAUUCUUAACUUACUAUGCCAGAGCGCUGGCUCCAUGAAUAUAAUUUUUUGAUGUGCUCCUUUAGCAUAAAUGCUUGAGUGGAAUUGCUAGUUAAUAUCUAAAUUAAAGUAUGCAUAUAUCUAAAUCAAAUUAUA